CUGAUGCUAUUUGAAGAGUGAUGCAUUAUGGAGACCUACUGAAAGAGAAGCAAAGGCUUUUACCAGUAUCUUUGGUAGAAAAAACGUUUUGGAUUGACAAUUAGAAAAGAUUCACUUUUUCAGUUCAAGCGACUGCAAAAAAGAUAUACCAAGAGGAAAAACAACCCAAGAACUUCAAAGAGAACUGAUCAG
rnacentral:lncRNA from 12 species